rnacentral:rRNA from 1 species
UGGGGGAUAUUGCGCAAUGGAGGAAACUCUGACGCAGCAACGCCGCGUGAAGGAAGAAGGCCUUCGGGUUGUAAACUUUUGUCUUUGGGGAAGAUAAUGACGGUACCCAAGGAGGAAGCCACGGCUAACUACGUGCCAGCAGCCGCGGUAAUACGUAGGUGGCGAGCGUUGUCCGGAAUUACUGGGUGUAAAGGGUGCGUAGGCGGGUAGUCAAGUCAGAUGUGAAAUACCGAGGCUCAACUUCGGGGCUGCAUUUGAAACUGAUUAUCUUGAGUGAAGUAGAGGCAAGCGGAAUUCCCAGUGUAGCGGUGAAAUGCGUAGAUAUUGGGAGGAACACCAGUGGCGAAGGCGGCUUGCUGGGCUUUAACUGACGCUGAGGCACGAAAGCAUGGGGAGCAAA